CGAACGCUGGCGGCGUGCUUAACACAUGCAAGUCGAACGGAAAGGCCUGCUUUCCCUUGUGGAUUGCGGGUGCUCGAGUGGCGAACGGGUGAGUAACACGUGAGUGAUCUGCCCCCAACUUGGGUAUAAGCCUGGGAAACUGGGUCUAAUUCCCGAUAGGACUGCAGGGUGGUGCCUGUGGUGGAAAACGAUUUUCUAGUGGUUGGGGAUGAGCUCGCGGCCUAUCAGCUUGUUGGUGGGGUAAUGGCCUACCAAGGCGGCGACGGGUAGCCGGCCUGAGAGGGUGGACGGCCACAUUGGGACUGAGAGACGGCCCAGACUCCUACGGGAGGCAGCAGUGGGGAAUAUGGCACAAUGGGCGGAAGCCUGAUGCAGCGACGCCGCGUGGGGGAUGACGGCCUUCGGGUUGUAAACUCCUUUCGACCGCGAGGAAGCCACCUGGUUGGAAGGGUGGUGACGGUAGUGGUAGAAGAAGCACCGGCUAACUACGUG
rnacentral:rRNA from 1 species